UUUUCUAAAGUUCCGUAGGGAACCUGCGGAAGGAUCAUUACACAUUCGAGGAAAACCCGUUCUCGUGCCUGGUCACUCCAGGGGCGGAUGGGCGGCCCUGCUGGCUCAAUGUCUUGACAUCGCCGGACCCCCCCCCCUUCACACCACUCUGCGUACCAUUCCAUGUUGCUUCCCCGGGGAGGGACACCCCACCCGGGGGAGGGCCCUGCUGCUGCUCACCCCAGGGCCCAUCCCCUUGCCCCCCAAGAGAUUCCUCUCAAGCUCACCUAUCAGCUCCAUCUGCUGCACGCCCUGGGAAUCACCAACUGCUCAUACGCGAAAUCAUCCCAUCCCAAUGCACCGACACCAUCUGCCCCUCACGAGAGCGCGGGAUGCCGACCAACCAACCUGUACAACCAAAUAGUCUGACGGCCGGCGUGCCGACAAGCACGCGGCGAGCGACAAACUGAAUGCAGAGGAAAAACUUUCAACAACGGAUCUCUUGGUUCCCGCAUCGAUGAAGAACGCAGCGAAAUGCGAUAAGUAAUGUGAAUUGCAGAAUUCAGUGAACCAUCGAAUCUUUGAACGCACAUUGCGCCCCCUGGCAUUCCGUGGGGCAUGCCUGUUCGAGCGUGUCCGAAAAGUGGAAGACUCACGUGGGAAAACAACGCGUGGUGGUGGCGGCGGCGGCGGGCCCGACAGGGCGGCCACCGCGCCAGAAAUGAUGGGCGGACGCCGGCCGCGUCGCAGAGCGUGAUAACUUUCUAUCGCCUCGUGCGCGGAAGUGGCUUCCAGCCCACGCCCCGAAGCGGGGCGGCGAGAGCGUGACACUGGAACUCCUCGAAUCAGGAGUCCG
rnacentral:rRNA from 1 species